rnacentral:rRNA from 1 species
UACGGAGGGUGCAAGCGUUGUCCGGAAUCACUGGGCGUAAAGGGCGCGUAGGCGGCUCAUGAAGGCUGUGGUGAAAGUCCGGGGCUCAACCUCGGAUCGGCCGUGGCGACUCGUGGGCUGGAGCACUGUAGAGGCGGGUGGAAUUCCGGGUGUAGCGGUGGGAAUGCGUAGAGAUCCGGAAGAACACCAGUGGCGAAGGCGGCUUUCUGGACGGAUUUACUGACGCUGAGACGCGAAAAGCGUGGGGGAGCAAACAGG